UGAAUGUUCUGCCUCAAAAGUUACU
rnacentral:piRNA from 1 species